GCAGGGCAUGGUGGUGCAUGCCUGUAAUCCCAGCUACUUGGGAGGCUGAGGCGGGAGAAUCGCUCGAACCCGGGAGGCAGAGGUUGCAGUGAGCCAAGAUCUCCCCACUGCACUCCAGCCUGGGUGACAGAGUGAGACUCUGUCUCAA
rfam:Pan troglodytes isolate Yerkes chimp pedigree #C0471 (Clint) chromosome 13, whole genome shotgun sequence.